AUUGCCUCAGUAACGGCGAGUGAAGCGGCAACAGCUCAAAUUUGAAAUCUGGCGGCCUCUGGGCCGUCCGAGUUGUAAUUUGAAGAGGAUGCUUUUGGCGAGGCGCCUUCCGAGUGCCCUGGAACGGGACGCCACAGAGGGUGAGAGCCCCGUAUGGUUGGACGCCGAGCCUCUGUAAAGCUCCUUCGACGAGUCGAGUAGUUUGGGAAUGCUGCUCAAAAUGGGAGGUAAACCCCUUCUAAAGCUAAAUACUGGCCAGAGACCGAUAGCGCACAAGUAGAGUGAUCGAAAGAUGAAAAGCACUUUGAAAAGAGAGUUAAACAGCACGUGAAAUUGUUGAAAGGGAAGCGCUUGCGACCAGACUUGUGCUCGUCGAAUCAGCCGCCGCUCGUCGGCGGCGCACUUCGGCGGGCUCAGGCCAGCAUCAGUUCGCUGCAGGGGGAGAAAGGCGAUGGGAAUGUGGCUCUUCGGAGUGUUAUAGCCCGCCGCGCAAUACCCCUCGGCGGACUGAGGACCGCGCAUCUGCAAGGAUGCU
rnacentral:rRNA from 2 species